rnacentral:tRNA from 1 species
GAGGGUGUAGUUCAAGUGGUGGAGCACAUGCUUAGCAUGCAUGAGGUCCUGGGUUCAAUCCCCAGUACCUCCA